rnacentral:rRNA from 1 species
UGAGCAAUAUGCCCUUCUCAUCGGAAUAAGCGUUGGAAACGACGUCUAAUGCCGAAUACGACCUCCUUUCACAUGAUCGGAGGUGGAAAGCUCCGGCGGAGAAGGAUGAGCUCGCGGCCUAUCAGCUAGUUGGUGUGGGUAACGGCCCACCAAGGCGACGACGGGUAGCCGGCCUGAGAGGGUGACCGGCCACACUGGGACUGAGACACGGCCCAGACUCCUACGGGAGGNAG